GGGAAAGAACCUCCAGCCGUCCUCGGCCUCAGCUGCACGGGAGAUGGCCUGGAGCUCUCUAACAGCCAGUGCCCAGGCCCGGUCUGAGCAGCUCCCCACGGGAGGUAGGCGGGCAGUCCCGGGCAGCCAGGGCCCCCGCUGGACACGCGGCCGGCAGGAGAAGAGAAGGACGAGCGGCGUGUCCUACCUGGCGGGGAGCCUCCGCGAAGGGUUUCCUGGUUCC